GGACGGGGUUCCCUGACUUCCCAGCCGUCAGCGACAGGUCAGGAGGCGGGGCGCGGUCGAUCUGAGCUGUCCGCACAAAGACAAUAAGAAAACUGAAUCUCAAAGUGGUUAUGUCACUUGCCUGUUUUGGCAACUAUCUACCACUUCUCCUGGGCACACGUGAAAGCCCUGGACAGGGCUCUCUGAGAGCAGAACCAAUGAACUAGACUUGGCCAGGCCAUUGGACUCCAGGCUUGGGUUGUUUUUAGAAAUUAAAUUACAUCAUGACACAGAAGAUAGACUGGCCAGACAGCCAGCUACCCAGCCAGAAGGGAGCCUGAAAAUGUACCUCCUUCCUUAUCAGCUGACAACACAUAAGACAGACUAUCUCUUCCCACAUUGGGAGGAACCACGUGCUUCAAUAAAACCCACAGGGCAAAAGGGUUUCACUAAGUUGCCAAGGUCAGCCUUGAACUUGUGAUCCUCCUGCCUACACCUCUGAGUCACUGGGAUUACAGGGCAACCAUCACCCAGACUGAGAUGCAGAACAUUGCCAGCACUCCAAAAAAUUCCCUCGUGCUUCUUUCUCAUCAAUCCACUUCCUCUUAGAAGUAGCUUCUGUUCUGACUUCUGCAUCAUCCAUCUGUUUUGUCUGUUCUUGAUCUUCAGCAUUACCUGUUUCCAUGGGCAUAAGAAGAGUCUCUGGCUGGGAUAUCAUGGAAGAAGUUUCUGAACUGGUAGACUUCUGACAAGAUUAACGACCCCCAGGUUUUCUCCUAAUUUCAAGAUUCAACAAAAGCUUUGGCUCUAGAAUGUUCUUGGGUUGCUUUUGUUUUGUUUUGUUUUAAUUCCACAGCCUUUGGCAUUCCAGUUCAGAGGACAGCCCUGGCUAUGCAGAGCUAGGAGGACCAGCAUCACUCUGGAGCCAACAAAUGUGGCAGUAGCAACACCCUCAUACUUGGGCUGCUUCUAAGAUUCAUAAUCCCAGGAGAGAGUGUCAAAUUGGCUGAGAUGAGGUCACAUGCCUGGGCCUGCUGUACCUGGGCAGUAAGAGGAAGGAUCUAAUGCCAGCAGUCUCCAGGAACCCCUACAGCUUCCACGAUGCAAAGGCAGGUACCUAGAUUUACAGUCACAUCAAGACUGUCUACAAUGGACAGGGGAGUUAUUAUUCAAAAAGAAAUUCAUGCUUCUGUUUUUUUUCACUGAUAUGAUUUUGAGUUUCUGUUUUCAUGGGAGACUGGCUGAAAUACUAAUUGUGUUUGUUGUAAUUAUUUACAAAAAAAUAAUGCUUUGCUGUCUUGUUUACUGCUGACUUAUCCCAAUCCUUGCCCUAUGUAUGCCUUGUCUGGUCACCUGCCUUCUACCUCUGUGGACCUCUGGACUGCUCUGAUGCCAAACACUCUUAACGGUCCACACCUCACAUGAUAGAGAACAAGAACUUUGGGUUACUUCCCCCAACUUUGUCCUCUUUCAGCAGGAAGCAGCUUGGAGAUGUCAUUGCCCAUUUUCCCAUAGAAAUGGAAUGUAGAAAUUAACAGUGGGGAAAUGUAACAGGGAUCUACUUUACGUUUUGUUUGUCCCCUCAAAGGGGAAACCUCUGGUGUCAUUCACACUCUAGAACUUUCCAGGCCGGGAAACCCCAUCUUUCUUUAGCCUCUUUCCCUGCUCUGUUCUGCUUCCCUCACCUCUUUACAGAUUUUUCCUGAAAGCACAAUGUCAACAUGUCUUUAGGACAAGAAUCCCUGCCUCAGUUUCUGCUCUGAGAAUUCAACCUAAAACAAUGAUGAACACUGGGUAUUUUUUGGCCGUCUAACAUUAUUCUCUUACUAAUAGCAUGAGUUACUUUUCUUUUUUUUACUUUUUGAGAGAAAGAAAGAAGAAGGUUUAUUGCUUUGCUAGCAAAGGAGAAACACAGGAAACUCCUGUCCCAGAGGCUGUGAUUCUGCCCAUCAGCAGGAACAGGGGGCUUUUAAACAGGUGAUUCAAAGGCGACCUCCAUGUGUUCUCUGUCAGAGUUGUAAUUCACUUGUUAAUUGGGGAGAUAGUAAUUUCUGAGAUUUUCUGGUACCAUCUUCAAAGUCUGAAUUAGUACCCUUCCCAUGGUGGGUGUGUACUCAAGCACAGAUAAAUAUGCCUAAAUUGUGGAAGAAAGGUAAUAUUGUUUCCCCUGAGAUUAGGGCAGAGGAAGAGAUCAGGGAGGACCAGGGAGAGAGGAAUAGAAAGAAACAUGUCCAUUUUAAAAAUAAGUUGCAGUGGCAGAGUCUAAAGGAAAAAGGGUUCUAGGAAGCAGAUUACCAAAAGAACUCACAGACUUUCUAAUGCAUUUGAUGAAAUGCACCAGAAAAAAAAGCAAUAUUGAAGAAGUUUCAUAGACAUAAUGGGCAAGUUGGAAAUAACUAGUAAUAUACACACAGAAAAUGAGGCAAAGGAAAAAGAAGCUAUCAUUAACUCCAAGAAAACCAAAAUGAUAUAUAAGAAAGGGAGUAUUAUUAUGAUUAACAACACUUACAACAUGGAUAAACAAUGUUUAUCCAUGUUGUAAGUUAUUUAAUAUAUUAUGGUUAGAAACUUUAAAUAUACCAUUUUGCACCUCAUAAUGACUUUUUUUUUGAGAGAGAGAGAGAGAGAGAGUCUCAUUAAUUUCCCUAGAGCCUCUCUAAUUGCUUAGGCUGGUUUUGAACUUGAGAUCCCCCUGCCUCAGCCUCCUGAGUCACUGAGAUUACAGGUGUGCACUAUUGCGCCCAGCUUUGUAAUGACAUUUUGGUCAACAACAGACCAUAUAUAGGACAGUGGUCCCAUAAAAUUAUAAUGGAACUGA